CUCAAAGGAAUUGACGGGGGCCCGCACAAGCAGUGGAGCAUGUGGUUUAAUUCGAAGCAACGCGCAGAACCUUACCAGGGCUAGACAAACUAAGAACCCGAAUGAAAGUUUGGGGUGCUCGCAAGAGAACUUAGGUCCAGGUGCUGCAUGGCUGUCGUCAGCUCGUGUCGUGAGAUGUUGGGUUAAGUCCCGCAACGAGCGCAACCCUUAUCCUUAGUUGCCAUCAUUUAGUUGGGCACUCAAAGGAGACUGCCGGGGUCAACCCGGAGGAAGGUGGGGAUGACGUCAAGUCCUCAUGGCCCUUAUGUCCUGGGCUACACACGUGCUACAAUGGUCGGUACAAAGCGCUGCGAAGCCGCAAGGUGGAGCGAAUCGCAAAAAGCCGGCCUCAGUACGGAUUGCACUCUGCAACUCGAGUGCAUGAAGUCGGAAUUGCUAGUAAUCGUCGAUCAGCAGGCGACGGUGAAUACGUUCCCGGGCCUUGUACACACCGCCCGUCACACCAUGGGAGUCGAGUGCUCCAGAAGUGGCCAUGCUAACCCGCAAGGGAGGCAGGUCCCCAAGGAGUGUUUGGUAACUGGGGUGAAGUCGUAACAAGGUAA
rnacentral:rRNA from 1 species